rnacentral:sRNA from 1 species
GCCAGGCAUGGUAUGCAGGCCUAUAAUCCCAGUCACUGGGGAGGCUGAGGCAGGAGGAUGGCAAGUUUGAGGCCAGCCUCAGUGACUUAAUGAGGCCCUAUGUAACUUAGCAAGACCCUGUCUCAA